AAACUACAGGACCUGUGGUACCUCCUUGCUUCUGCCUCAAUGGUGGAUUCUGCCAGGAUAGAGCCUGUGUGUGCCCCAACGAGUGGACUGGACAAUUUUGUGACAUAGUUAACUUUUGUGAAGACAGCAUUUACACAAUGAAUGUUUCUGAAAACGUUAUAAAAAACCUUACUUUUGAAAAGAUUUUAGUGGGUAAAUACAGCAGCUCCAAAGAGAAGUGUGGACCUAAUACUGUGAAUGGUAACUCUUCAAUUGCAGUCCGGCUGUGUUCCAGAAAGGGAAUAAUUCCAGUUUUAGAGACUCCCAGUAUUCUGAAUUGUAACGAAAAUCUGGACUCUCUAGCAUUACAGGUAGAAACUUCAGACAUCAGCAAUGUUUCAGCAAUUGCAAGUAAUACUCAGAUCCUUACCUCCAUUCCCAGUCGACUGACAACGCAGGACAUCUCUGCUGCUGCGAAUAUUGCAGUGCAGAUUCUAAGAAAACCAAAUGUUUCAGAAGAUUCUAAGGUGAGCAUUAAUAGGACAGAAAAAAGUUUUUAUGGCUUAAUAUUUGGGAUAUGGAUUCUCUCUCCCCUCCAUCAGCACAAGUAACUCUCUCCAGUGUGCUUCCAAUUAACUUUACAUAACAACACAACCAAAGGCAUCCAUUUUGCCAUUUAGUGAUUCAGUGGCCCUGAG
rnacentral:lncRNA from 1 species